rnacentral:snRNA from 1 species
GGGCUCACUUCAGCCGCACUCAUACUAAAAUUGGAAUAAUCCAGAGAAGAUGCGCAUGGCCCCUGUGCAAGGAUGGCAUGCACAUUGUGAAGUGUUCCAUAUUUUA